CCAUGUUUAGGUGAAAGCCAUUUUCCAGAAUGGCCUUCACUGAAGAAAGCACGUUUUCCUCUUAAAAGAACUAGAAAAGACCAGAGCACAGGCGGACUAGCCAUGUGGACACCUGCUCAAAUCCCAGUCAGCUGCUGGACCUCAAAAAAUCUCAGUCACUGGAGCCAAAUACUGGUCUGGCGUCACCAAGAUGGAGAUCUUAGGAGCUGCUAAAGGACUUCAGCUUGACUCACAACUGGCUUUUCUUCUCCUCAACAUAUGGUUCACUGAAACUGCUGCUGCUGCUGCUCUGCUAACAUCAGGCUCACGCUACGCCUCCUGUGCAGACGCCUUGUAAGCUGUGGUGAUUGCACACAGCUCUUCUAGUGUCCCAUCUUCACAGUGAAGCUGCAGGCUUCCACACCGUCCAACUCCACACAAAACCAGAUGUCCAGACGACCUGCCUCCAUUAACCAGAGCUUCUCUGGGGUAUAACUCAGUGCUGCUCCAGCCCCUGUCCAGCCUCCAGACAUCAGGCCCAGCCCUUGCCAUCCUUCUGCCCAGACGUGGGACUUGCAAAGCCGAGUCAGAGACUGUGACGGCAGGGCAACAAGCCAAGACUGGCUCUAUCUUCAUAUAACUCCUGCUGGAGGUGGGAGAGUGC